rnacentral:rRNA from 1 species
UACGUAGGGUGCAAGCGUUGUCCGGAAUUAUUGGGCGUAAAGAGCUCGUAGGCGGUCUGUCGCGUCUGCUGUGAAAACUCAGGGCUUAACCCCUGAGCUUGCAGUGGGUACGGGCAGGCUAGAGUUCGGCAGGGGGAGACUGGAAUUCCUGGUGUAGCGGUGAAAUGCGCAGAUAUCAGGAGGAACACCGGUGGCGAAGGCGGGUCUCUGGGCCGAUACUGACGCUGAGGAGCGAAAGCGUGGGGAGCGAACAGG